rnacentral:misc_RNA from 1 species
UCAAACUUGGUCAUUUAGAGGAAGUAAAAGUCGUAACAAGGUCUCCGUUGGUGAACCAGCGGAGGGAUCAUUAUCGAGUGUUAAAACUCCCUUAAACCCCUGUGAACAUACCUAUUGUUGCUUCGGCGGGAUCGCCCCGGGCGCCUUCACUGGUGCCCCGGAACCAGGCGCCCGCCGGGGACUAUAAACUUCUGUUUCUUAUAGAGGAUUUAUCUGAGUGGAUUUUAAAAAUCAAUCAAAACUUUCAACAACGGAUCUCUUGGCUCUAGCAUCGAUGAAGAACGCAGC